CCUACGGGUGGCAGCAGUGGGGAAUAUUGGACAAUGGGGGGAACCCUGAUCCAGCCAUGCCGCGUGUGUGAAGAAGGCCCUCGGGUUGUAAAGCACUUUCAGUGAGGAAGAACGCCUGGUGGUUAAUACCCAUCAGGAAAGACAUCACUCACAGAAGAAGCACCGGCUAACUCCGUGCCAGCAGCCGCGGUAAUACGGAGGGUGCGAGCGUUAAUCGGAAUUACUGGGCGUAAAGCGCGCGUAGGUGGCUUGAUAAGCCGGUUGUGAAAGCCCCGGGCUCAACCUGGGAACGGCAUCCGGAACUGUCAAGCUAGAGUGCAGGAGAGGAAGGUAGAAUUCCCGGUGUAGCGGUGAAAUGCGUAGAGAUCGGGAGGAAGACCAGUGGCGAAGGCGGCCUUCUGGACUGACACUGACACUGAGGUGCGAAAGCGUGGGUAGCAAACAGGAUUAGAUACCCUAGUAGUC
rnacentral:rRNA from 1 species